rnacentral:rRNA from 1 species
UACGUAGGGGGCAAGCGUUGUCCGGAAUCAUUGGGCGUAAAGCGCGUGUAGGCGGCCCGAUAAGUCCGCUGUGAAAGUCAAGGGCUCAACCCUUGAAUGCCGGUGGAUACUGUCGGGCUAGAGUCCGGAAGAGGCGAGUGGAAUUCCUGGUGUAGCGGUGAAAUGCGCAGAUAUCAGGAGGAACACCAAUGGCGAAGGCAGCUCGCUGGGACGGUACUGACGCUGAGGCGCGAAAGCUAGGGGAGCAAACAGG